AUCCAACUGAGGAGUCUGAAAUGGGACGAAAUGCACAUCUUAGAU
rnacentral:hammerhead_ribozyme from 1 species